UAAUAAUAAUAUCAAUAUAAUAACAUAAUAAUGUAUGAUAAUAUUACUACUACAAUAGUAAUAGUAUAAUCAAUAUAAUAAUCCUGAUAUAUUAUAACAGUAAUAUAAUUACUUAUUAGCAAGUUAAUGAUACUGACUAUUAAAUAAAGAUUAUUAAGAGAUUUUUGCAGUGAUAUAUUAAUUAUAUUUGAGUCGUACCAAGCAUUGUCCUAAGAAACUAUUUUAGCAGUGUGAAAUAUUUUUUCAAGAUUAAACAAGUACUUCUCUGAUUAAUUAGAGAGCAUAUAGGAUUAAAUAAGUUUUUCCUAAUUAAUCAGAGGAUACAAAAAUCAGCAAAAUUAUCAAUACAAAUAUCAACAAGUUAAACUAGAGAUUUACUAAAAUAAUAACCAGAACUAUUAAGUAAAUGAUAUAAAAAGAAAGAGGAAAAAGUUGGAAAAGGAAGAGACAGUAACAAGAAUGUGGGGAUGAUUUUUCAAGGCUAAAUGAUGUCUAUUUAUAAUGGUUCAAUAGACUUAGAUGUUGGUCCAAACACUUGUUCAAAUAUUUUCAUGCAAAAUGAUACUUGUCCUUCAAGUCUAACAAGUGUCAAUGUUUUAAGAAAACAAUGACAUGCAUAUUAUCAACACUAUUUGUUAGUUAGCCACUUCCUCAAGUAAGUAUGUUGUCUUUUAAAAUACAUUUUAGUAUAAAUUAUUUAUAAAAUAAAUAUUUUUCAUACAAAAAGUAGAUAUAAACUUUUAAAAGGUUUUUGACUAAGUUUAAUUUUUUCCUGUAAGAAUGAUCACUCUUUCUCCCUUUUUAUUCAAUUUUUUUUUCUAAAUCAUUUUUUUUUCUUGUAUAAAUUCCGUGCAUUUUUUCAUAGAGAAAAGUAAAUAUAAAUUUUUAAAAUCUUUCCGACAAAGUCUCAUUUUUUUUUAAUAAGAAUGACUAUUCUCUCUUUCUGUCGUCCUCUCUUUCUAUUCAAUUCUUUUUCUAAAUUAUAUUUUUUUCUUGUUUGAAUUCCUUGCAUUUGUUCAUAGGAAAAAGUAGAUAUAAAUUUUUAAAAGAAAUUUGGUAAAGUGCUAUUUUUGAGGGUAAAAAUGAAACACCUUGACUUUGAAUCCUUAGAAAAUAUUCCCUAAGAUUGAGUUUCUGGACAAGGUAUGAUUUAAACAUACUACUCAUAUGCUAGGUACGACUAGUACCCACUCUCUCGUAUGAUGAUCAGUUUAGGUUGAUAGCAUUAUAGUCUAAGGUACGAUUUAGCAUCAUACCAAUCAUAUGAUGGUGUACGAGUCGUAAGUGGGUGAGUUGUUUAAUGUCUUGAGCCUUGUCCAUAGUGUUCUGCCUAGGGUACAGAGUGUAGGGUACUACUCGUACCUUAGGGUAUGAAUUGAGUAUGAGGGGUCAUAUGUUAGUCAGUAUGGGGUCCAAAGAGUGGUCUAGGGUACAAGUUAGUGUAUCACUCAUACCCUAGGGUAUGGGACAAGGGGGUGAGUCGUACCCUCCUGGGUGUAAUUUUCAGCUUUUAAGCUGAGGAUAUUUUAGACAUUUCUCACCCCUAAAACUUUAUGAACCACAACUUAUAACAUUGUUUGGAUUUUGAUUAUUUACUUAUACAAGAUCAAAACAUUCCGAAACACUCUUCAAAACUUCUCUCUCAAGAUUAGGAACUAGGGUUUCAAGAGUGCUCAUCUAAAGGCUAAAGGGGGUCAAGUUCCUUCCAUGAAUCAUCUUAUAUAAGGCAUGUGACUCUUCUCUCAUUGUUAUUUAUCAAAUAUUAUGUGUUUUAAAUAUUGAUUAUGGAUUGUAAAUGGUCGUUUUAAAAUCGAAUGUUGAGGAUUUUGAUGCAUAAUGAUGAGUAUUAUUUACUCUUGUUUAAACUUGUGUUUAUACAUAUUUUUACUGAUGGUUUGCACAUGUGGGUGCUUGUUGAUUGUGGUUUAACAAAUGGGUCAUGAUUAACACUAAGGUUGAUGAUUUUUACUUUGAUUUUAGUCUUGAAAAAGGUAUGCCCUCAAGUUGUUUGUGAAAAUGUCUAAAAUAAAUAACUAGUUACAUGUAAAUUGUGUUUUGAACUAAGGCAAUGGCUUAAUGAGUAAGAAUAUUUGGUAAAUGAUCUUGUAAAGGCCUUGUUGGACAUGUAAUGAAUUAAAUGGUAAUCCUGGUGAUAUGAUUGGUUAAAAAGAGUUUGAGUCCCUAAACAUGAAAUGGAAUUGUGUUUAAACUAAAGUUUAGUGUAAGAAUCCUGAUGAAGAAUGAAUGGUUUGGUAAAAAGGUCUUGAUGACCAUAAUUUGACUUGAAUGGUAUCUGAAACUAAGGCAUUGGCUUAUUAAAGUGAUUGAUUGAUAAAUAGUUCAUGAAGACCUUGUGGUCAUGUAUGGUGUUGAAUUGUAGCCUUGAUGGCUUGAAUUGGUUGAGUGGGUUAGAAUCCCCAAAUGUGAACUGAGUGGAUGAGCAUGCAUGGACAAAGGAUUAGAGUCCAAAUUUCAACUAGUAAUGGACAUGACGGCAUGUGGUUAGGGUCCACUUGCUUAACAAGAUGGCUUAUGGUUAGAUUCCACUUGUCUAAUAAUAUGGCUUGUGGUUAGAGUACAUUUGUCCAAUGACAUGGCUUGUGGUUAGAGUCCACUUGUCUAGUGAAAUGGCUUGUGGUUAGAGUCCACUUACUCAAUGAGAUGACUUGAGGUUAGAGUCCUUUUGCUUGAUAUAACCAGGAAGUUCAAACUUCCUAAUUCUACGCAAGUAGAAGGUUAGAGUCCUCCACUUCAUGGUUCAUAAUUGGGUGUUUUGAACUGCUAAGGCCUUGCCUUCUUUUUCAACACUUGAUGUAUCUAUAUAUCUGCAUAUCCAUGUGUAUAAAUGUGUUUUCUUAUGAUGAUUUGACUUGGUAUUGAAUAAUGACAUUAUUUUAUCCUUAUCCUUGAGUUACAUGCUAGCGCUCCAACCAUUAACCGUCUUCGGACGCUGUGUCCCCAUGCGACACAAGGGUCGGAGCUUGUUUUUCUCUUCCUACGUAGUGACCAGGUGUUAAAGCAAUUUGGAUGUUGACAUUGAAGCGGUGACCUUCCAUACUUCGUAAGACAUACAUUUCAUGAUCUUUCUAUUUUACGUCAUGUACAUGUUUUGGACUUAGUUUUGGCUAUUGUUAGGAGCUUGUUCCCACAUAUUAUUGACUUUGAAUUUGUAUAGGCUUUGUGGAUGAUUGUGGACUUGGGUAGGUGUGAUGUUGUGUGUGGAAAUGAAUGAAAUGAUUAGACAUUCUUAAGUUAUAUUUAUUAGUCUUGUUUCUGCUAUCUUAUUAUAUGCUCGGAGUUCAUCCGACACUUUUGGAUGAUGUGAUGGUUAGUUUAGGCUAAUGGGGUGAUCUCCGGUCCUUGAUGGGUUCGAGAUACCCGUUACGGCAAGGCCCUGGUUCGGAUCGUGUCAAAGAAUGAUAUGAAGUAUUUUUUUUUCUACAAAUGCAUUGUCAGUUUUAGUAACUAAAAAAGAAGUUGAAGAUAAUAAUUAGGAGUUUAUGAUUCUUUCAAAAUAAAAGAAAAAUGUGGUAUUAGCUUGGGCGGGGGCUGAUGGUGUACUGGCAACAUCAGCGCCGAUGGAAAGGGAGUGGGGUUCGAUGGAGAAAAAGGGGGAUUAAUUUAAAAAAAAUUAUUUUCUUGUCUUUUUUAUUAUAUAAAUAAAUUUAGUUUUUAAGAAAAAAUUAUUUAAAUUUGAUUGCCAUCUGGCAUUACUUCAUUGGUCUAUUUGGCAUGUGAGUUACACUCACUUUAAAUUUUUAACAAAUUUUCAAUUUGUAUCAAAUAGGUAUAAAUUUUUUCAGAAUGAAGUGUUCAAUUUAUACAAGUCUGAGUUAAGGUAUCCAAGAAAAAUAUCCAAACAAGUUUAAAGGUCUAUCAAUGAAUUAAGCCUUAAUACUUACUAGUACAUAACUACAUACUUGUUGGAAUUGUGACAUUGUAAAUUACAUCUAUGUAUCAUCUACAUUUUCUUAAUACUCAAACACACUAUGAAAUAAACACCAAUUCAUACUAAUAAGAAUUGAAUUGAGACCUUUCUCUCUUAGCACGUAUCCCUUCAGUCUUUGCUUUGGAAGUCACUGGAUCUAUGUGACAACAGUAAACCUAACCUUAGUAGUAAAUUUCUCCAACAAUAUGCACCUCUUGUUAGAUACUUUGGGAACAACUAAUUUAGAAUACGUGUGUUGCACGUGUAUAUCGCAUCAGGCCACCAAUCAAUAUAAAAUAUAUUAAAAAGGAAUAAAUUAUUAAAAAAUAAUAAUUGACUUUAAACAAACUAUAAUAUUUUUUUUCCUUGAUUUCAACAAUUAAAAGUAAAAUUUAAAGCUCUUGUUUAUAAAUAAAUUAAAUAAUUUAGAGUUGCAAGCUAGAUAUUGUUACAAUUUUUGUUUGGACUCCAACUUUAGAAGAUACAUUGAUCAGAUCCUUUAUGGGUUGUGAGACUUCUGAUAUUUCAUCUUAUUAUGAAUUCUUAAGUUUUUGUAUCUUUGCUCUUUCAAAGGUAUUAAUUAUUCAGAUUUCGUAUCUUCCUUUUGCCAAAUUAAAGAUGCACCACGAUUUACGUGUCAUCAAAAUAUAGUGAAUUUGAAUAACUUGAAAACAUGAUUCUUUAGGACAUAGUAAUGCAUCUUCAAUUGUCUCAACUAAUUUGAAUUUAUGUCGAAAAGUCCACAUUGGAUUAAAAAAAGUAUUCUCCAACAAAAGUGACACUAUAUCUAGAGGUAUUCAAACUCAAAAUUUCUAAUUAAAGAUAAAAGAAUAGUUACUCUACCACAACCCUUAUUGAUAAUGUUAAUAUAUCUAAUAUAUCAUAAAUAAACUACCAAAUAGAUUCAGUAAUAAAUACGUUUUGGCAUAUCAAUGCCUUAGUGUCAUAAAGGUUCUAAAUGAAAGAUAAAUAAGAAUUCACAUAGGAAAAAAAAAUUAGAUGCUUAGAUCAUAAAGUAACUUUUUUAUAUUCAACAAAUACUUUAACAUCAAUAAUAUUUACUAAAAUUGAAGAAAUAGUUGGAGUAUAUUGAGAAGAUACUGUAUUCAUCGCUUGAUAACAAGUUUUUAAAAAUUUACAGAGUUCUUUUAUAUCAAUUCAAUCAUCAUCACAGAAUCGUAAAUUAAGAUCCGCAUUAUGAGCAUUAUAAACUAAUUGUCUAGGUUCACGAUAAUCAUAAGCAACAUCAAUCAUUUCAUAUAAAGAAUUUUAUUUAGUAGGAAUUUCUCUUGAAAGUUUUCUAUAUGAAAUUUGACAAUCUCCACAGCGACGUUUAAAAUCAAUAACUGUAGACUUUUUUUAAUUUUCUUAAAAACAAAACUACAGGUAACUCAAACUUUAAAAUAACCAGUUUAAAAGUCUAUCGGACAAAGUUUAGUUUUUAAAAAUCCAACAGCUUUCAUAUUAUUAAAAACAUUAUCUAAUGUGCAUGCCAUAAUUUUAUCAAUAAGUUGAAAAUAUUUCAAGUUUUCCCCUAUUGUACAAGCUAUAUAGACACCAAUAGUCUCGUCAACAUAUUUAUAAGCAAUAAUUCUUUUUUUCAUGUUCCAAUAGUAAUAAAUUCAAUGAGCCGUAAGAGUAAAAUAAUCAUUAUUGUUGAUACUACAACCUAUAUCAGAAGUAAUAGAUAUUUUACUAUCAAAUUUACUAAAUAAGCAAUGAAAAAAAUGAUAAUGUUCAGCUUGAUAUUUAAAAAUACGAUUCUUGAUUGAAUUUUGUGGAAAACUUUUAAAAGAUGAAUUAUAUACUCAUUGAAUAUAAUGAAUAAAAUCAAGGCAAACCCAUAACAACAAUCUUUUUUGCUAAUUCUUCUCAAUCUAUAUAUUCACUAUAUGUCAGUGAUGAGUUUGGGCUAGUCGGGUUACAUGUUUAAAUGAGUCUAAACCAUAUUACCUCUUACAAAUUCUUUCGGUAGUGGUGUACCAUUUUUUUUUUCUUAGCCUCUAUUUCUAGACGAAUAAAUUCUAAAUUACAUUUCCUUAAAUGAUUAUUUAGUAAUCCUGUCCCGUCAUUAUUUUUCUUGGUCAAAUGUUUCAUAACUUUCUUGCAUUUAUUGCAAGUAGCGAUAUUUUUUACCCUAUUAUUGAAACCCCCCAGAUUUUUGGCGCUUGAAAAUUUCUUGACCUUUGAGAUUACUACCUUAGUUACGACUUGACCCCACGAUUCGUAGGGUAUCUUCACGGGUCAAGUGACCCUAGUCAUAAGGUGUCCAGUGAAUAGUGUUUGAGUUUCUAUCCUGGGUACGACUUAGGACACGAGUCGUAAAGACUCGUGAAGAGUGGUUAAGAUAAAUCGUAACCAAAUCAUGUAAGUUUACUCUGAGUAUGAGAGGCUCACUAGGAGUUGUAAGGACCUUUUAUGAGUCCUGGGAUAAAAUAGUAGGAUGUCCAGUGUUUAACCCAUUUGGGUUGUGUAUUGACUAUGACUGGACCCUACAAGUCAUAGGGUUUUACUAAGAAUGGGUUGGUUGAUUCCUAAGGUCUACAGUGUAUGGGGUCCUAGUCACUAUUUUGGUUACGACUUGUGGGGACGAGUCGUAAGGUGUGGUUACGAGUUGAUAGUUGACUCGUAGUCAAAGAUGGCCUUUUUCCAACUUUUAAGUUAAGGGCAUUUUGGACAUUUUCCCGACCCAAAUUAAAAUUCACAUCUUAUAACUCCUUUAGGGUAUCGUUAGCACUCAGAAAGAAAUCAAAUAACCUCUCAAAUCAUCAAGGUCAAGAACACUUUGGGUUUUCAAGAGGUUGAUUACUUAGGGCUUUCAAGGGUGAUUUCUCUCCAUACAUCUUGCUAUUUUAGGCAUGUUACUCUUCCCUCAUUGUGAAUUUUGUAAAAGCAUGUGAUUUAAAGCAUUGUUCAUGAGAUAUUGACGUUGGGUUUUGAACUACGGGUUGAUGGUUUUUAAUAUAAAAUAUUAAAUGCUUCUUCUAUGAUAUUUAUGAAACUAUUGUGCUUAAAUUGAUGGUUGAUAAAUGCAUUGGGGUGCAUGGGAAUGGUGGAUGGAAAUAAGGGUACAAAUAAACCCCCAAAUUAAUUGUUUGGUAUGAAAAUUGGUAAUAACCUCAACUCGCUUGCAUAAUUAAUUUUGAUUUAUGCAUUAUCACUUGGCUAGGCUUGUUUCUUGAAACUAAUGCAUGGUACAAAUGGUUAAAUGAUUAAGGUUUUAAAAUGCAUGCUAUACUUGUUUCCUAUGCCGGCAUGGGGGGUGUAUAUAUAUGUGUGUAUUUGCAUAUGGUUAUCAUUGGUUUGACUUGGUUUUGGAUUGAUGGCAUUACUUUAUCUUUAUCUCUGAGUUACAUGCUAGUGUUCACCCUACUAGCCAUUUUCAAAUUUAUUAUCCCCACUCAAUAAAGGAACCGGCCAUACUUCCACUCAACUUGCAUAGUGACUAGGUGAUUUGGGGACAGCUUUUGAGUCAGACUAAAAUGGUGACUUCCAUACUUUGUAAGACCCCAUUUUAUGCUACGAAUUUCUUUGUCUUUACUAUUUAUCUUUGGUCUUGGUUUUGGCUUUGGUCGGGGCAGGUCCCGACUGGAUAUUCUUUGAUUUUGAUUAAGAGCUUUGUUGGACUACUGUGGAUAUGGGUGGUAUUGGUUGGUUGUUUGGUUAUCGGUGGUUGAUUUUGGUUAUAGACUCAUCAUAAUAUUUUUAAAUUAAUAUUUUUUUUAUCUUGUUAUAUGUUUGAAAUUUAUUCGACAUAGGGUGUAAGGUGGUCAAUGGUUUGGGUAUUGGGGUAGUCUUUGAUCCUAGUUGGACUUGAGAUCCCCGACACGGUCAGGCCCGGGUUUGGGUUAUGUCAAGAUAGUAUUAGAGCUCUAGGUUCAUGAUCAAUUGGGUGUCCACAAAGUCGUAUCAAGUAGAAUCUCUUUUAAAGGUGUGUAGCACACCAUAUUCAUAAGGGAGAAGCUACAAGAAAUUUAGGAAUGUUUCCCUUUUCUUGUGUUCUAUUUUUGGGCUGUAGAGUUUAAGGUCCUGAAAUCUCCUCUAAUUCUUGUUUGUUUGUAUUUCAAGUUAUGCCUCCCAGACGACCUGAAUCUCAUGGAAACUCCCUUGUCCCAAUCGAGGACAAUGUUGAUGGGACACGCCCUAUUAUUGGGGUCCAGACCCGAUCUAAGGGUCCAUCUCUUGAUUGCCUUUCUGGAGUUCCAUAGGUCCCCUCUAGUCCUUCUCGAGCUCCUCAGGUUGAUGUGUCGAAUACGGAGUUUCAUUAGUCGAUUCAUAUAUUGUCUCAGUCUGAGCAUGGUACUUCUGUUACUCCAUAUUCUGGGGCCACAAGGGUCUGCUAGUUUAUGAGGUUAAGUCCUUUAAUCUUUACUAGUGUUACGGUUGAGGAGGAUCCUCAAAAUUUUAUUGAUGAGAUGGAAAAAAAUUUUAUGUGAUGCAUGCCACUAAUGUGGAUGGCGUGGAGUUCGUCGCUUACCAAUUAAAAAAUAUGGCAUAUCAGUGGUACGAAGAAUGGGACCAGUCUUGGGGUAAAGAUGUUGACCCUGCCUUGUGGGAUGAUUUCUCUAGUGUUUUUCUAGACCGUUUCUUUCCUUAAGAGUUGAGGGAGGCAAAAGCAGAGGAGUUUGUCAAUUUGAAUCAAGGAAGAAUGACAAUCAAGGAAUAUGCCUUGAAAUUUCAUCAGUUGUUCUGGUAUGCUACUGAGUUGGUGUCUAGUAUGAGAGCUAGAAUUAGGAAGUUUGCUUCUGGAUAUCCCAAGACUUGACUUGAAGAGUAAGGUUGUCUUGUUGAACAAGGACAUAGAUAUCUCCGAGUUGGUUGUGUACAUGCAGUAGAUUGAGGAAGAGAAGAAGAUAUAGCCAGAGAUAAGGAAGAGACAGAAUGAGAAGUUUAAAUUUCCUAAUCAGGGUGGAGGUCAGCAGCAGAGUGGCUGAAAUGGUGGAAAGUGGUCCAAGAAGAUAUGGGGAAAUUCUGGGUCCUACUCAGUGGCUAGUUCUUCUUACCUAAAGCCAUCUGGUACCGACGUUUUCAGGGUGGCAAUGGUUCUAGGGCACAAGAUGCCCAAUCUCAAGCUAGUGGGGCCUAAUCAACUCCAUCAUAUCCUUCCUGCAGAUUUUGUAGUCGAAUCGUAUUGGGGUUUCUGUGGUGAGGGAAGGGAAAGGUGCUUUAAGUAUGAUCAGCCAGGGCAUAUGCUUAGAAACUAUGCCCAGGGUAAGGUUGCUUCUGGAGCAAACAAGGUUCCUGUUGCCUCUUCAUCAGCUUUGACACCAAAGAAUGCCCCAUCUAGCUCUAACACUUGUCGGAACCAUCUUGAUGAUCUCACUAUCCAUCAGGAGUCUGAGGCAUCUCCGGAUGUCGUUACUGGUAUGUUUAAACUUUUUUUCGUGAUGUGUACUGUUUGCUUGAUCUGGGGUCCACUCUUUCUUAUGUGACCCCAUUUGUGGCUGUGUAUUUUGAUUUCAAUCCUGAGUGUAUUUUGGACCUUUUUUCUAUUUCUAUCCCAGUGGGUGACUCUGUGGUGGCUAAAAGAGUCUAUAGGGGUUGUGUGGUAUCUGUAGAUGGUAGAGAGACUUAAGUAGAUCUAAUGGAGUUAGACAUGGUUGAUUUUAAUGUCAUAUUGGGAAUGGAUUGGUUACUCCCGUGCUAUGCUUCGAUAGAUUAUCGGACCCAUAAGGUCAUUUUUAAAUUUCUUAAUGAGCAAGUUAUUGAGUGGGAAGGGAGUUCUCUAGUGCCUAAGGGAAGGUUCAUAUCAUAUCUUAGAGCCAAGAGAUUGAUUUCCAAGGGGUGUAUUUAUAAUUUUGGUCCAGGUUAAAGAUUCUAACUCGGAGAGUUCUUCCUUACAUUCCAUUCUGGUGGUAAAUAAAUUUUCCAAAGUCUUCCCUAAUGACCUUUCCAGUGUCCCUUCUAUUAGGGAGAUUGAUUUUGAGAUUGAUCUUGUUUUGAACACUCGUCCUAUCUCUAUUCCCCAGUAUAGAAUGUCUCCAACUGAUUUAAAGAGCUUAAGGAGCAAUUAAAGGAUCUUUUAGACAAGGGUUUCAUCAAUCCUAGUGUGUCCCCAUGGGGUGCACCAGUUUUGCUCAUACGUAAAAAGAAUGGUUCCCUUCGGAUGUGUAUUGAUUACCGGCAAUUGAAUAUGGUGAUGGUAAAGAAUAAGUACCCUCUUCUAAGGAUAGAUGAUCUGUUUAAUCAGCUUCAGGGUGCUAAGUUUUUCUCCAAGAUCGAUCUUCGGUUCGGGUAUCAUCAGUUAAAAUUUAUGGAGGUGGAUAUCCCUAAUACUGCUUUUCGGACCCUAAUGGGCAUUUUGAGUUCUUGGUUAUGUCUUUUGGGUUGACCAAUGUCCCAACAACAUUCAUGGACUUGAUGAAUAGGUUCUUCCAUCAGUUUCUUGAUUUGUUUGUCAUUGUAUUUAUAGACGAUAUUCUGGUGUACUCUAAAAGUGAGGCAAAUCAUGUCGAUCACCUUUGCAUAGUGUUGCAGACCCUGAAAGAUUAGCAGUUGUAUGCCUAAUUUGCAAAAUCUGAAUUCUGGUUGAACGUUGUUACUUUUUUGGGCCAUGUCAUAGCUAGUGAAGGGAUCAUGGUGGAUCCACAGAAGGUUGCAGUGGUGAAGAAGUGUCUUAGACCUACGACUCUAAUCGAUAUUUGGAGCUUCUUGGGUUUAGCCGGUUAUUAUAAGAUAUUUGUGGAGAAUUUCUCGACUAUAGCUACCUUGUUUAUUAAGUUGACCCAAAAGAAGGUGAAGUUCUUAUGGUCUAAUACUUGUGAGGGUAGUUUUGAGAAACUAGAAGAUAAGUUGACUUCAACUCCAUUUUUUAUCCUGCCCGGGGGUAAUGAUGGCUUUGUAGUCUAUUGUGAUGCGUUCCUUGUUGAGCUUGGUUGCGUUUUGAUAUAGCAUAGCAAGGUGGUAACAUAUGCCUCUAGAAAGUUGAAGGUGUAUGAGAAGAAUUUCCGACUCAUGACUUGGAGUUGUUGGUAGUGUUUGCAUUGAAAAUCUGGCAUCACUAUUUGUAUGGAGUGCAUGUGGAUAUCUUUUCAGAUCAUAAGAGCCUACAACAUAUUUUCACCCAGAAAGAGCUUAAUCUCAGAAAAAGGAGAUGGCUUGAGUUGCUCAAGGAUUAUGACAUGAGUCUUCACUAUUACCCAAGUAAACCUAACGUAGCUACUAAUGCUCUUAGAAGGUUAUCCAUUGGGAGUCUAGCUCAUUUGGAUGAGGAUAAGUAGGAAUUGGUGAAAGACAUUCACUAUUUGUCUAACCUUGGAGAUCAUCUCUUGGAUACUGAGGAUGGUGGUGUAAUUAUGCAAAAGGUAGUGCAAUAGAUAUGUAGGUCAGCAAAAGGUAGUAGCUUUUGAGAUUGGUGGUGGUGGUAUCUUGGGGUACCAAGGCAAAUAAUGUGUUCCUGACAUAGAUGGAUUGCGAGAAAGGAUCUUGGUUGAGGCUCAUGAGUAGCAUUAUACUAUUUAUCCUGAUUCGAAGAAAAUAUAUCAUGACCUUAAGGAGAUUUAUUAGCGUAAUAAUAUGAAGCGGGAUGUGGCCAGUUUUGUGGCUAAGUGCAUGGUGUGUCAGCAAGUGAAAGUUGAGCACUUGAGGCCCGUAGGGCUAUAUCAAGAAAAUGAGUUGCUUGUGUUGAAGUGGGAAGUGAUUAAUAUGGAUUUUGUUACUGGUUUUCCUUGAUCUCGAAAUCAAUUUUGUUCAUUUUGGGUCAUCGUGGAUAGAAUGACAAAGUCUGCUCACUUCUUGCCACUGAGGACUAAUUUUUUGGCAGAGGAUUAUGCAAAGUUGUUGUAAUGCCCCGAGAGUACACCCUGGGUGUCACACGAUGCUUACAGUCCUGAGGUACCACAAGCUAACUCAUAAGCUAGUACCUGCAGUGAGCACUGAAUAACAUAACCAUAAAUGCGGAAGAAUAACUGAUACGCCAUAAGGUUUUAAUAACUGAAACAAAUACUUAAUUAUGAAUCUGAAGAAAUAACUAUCUGAGUCUAAAUAAAUACUGAAAUCUGAGAUAAAUUGAAUAACGAACUAACAUGUCAACUGAUGUCUAAAUACUGAAUAACUGAUUGUAGUGUUUGAAAGCCUCAAAACUGAAUAACUGUGAGUUAAUGGGAUAGGCCCCAACUAACUACUAGACUGAAAGCAUAAAAUAAAAUAAUCCAUCCUCAAAAUAUGAGGACUCACUACUUCUACUGCUGAGAGUCUGAGAAGUCUAAGCGCAGUUCGGGAACUAGGCGUCAGAGCUUAUGAUUAAUACAUCAUAGCGCAAAAAAAGGGUAUGCGAUCAGUACUUUGAAUAUACUGGUAUGCUAAAUGAGGUAGGCUGAUAUGGAUGGUUUCAUGAACAGGAAUAAUAAUUAUCUGAAUAUAUAUGUAAAACGUGGAGUACUGAAUAAAAUGCAUGAAAGUUUGUAAAUGUUGACGUUACAUAAAAUCUGUAGAUAUUGAGGAUGCAUAACCAAGCAUACAACAUAAACUGAAUAAAAUCUGUAAACUGGAUAUUUAGAUAACUGAUAUUUGUAUGAUUUGGUCAAAUAACACUAAGACUAGAUGUCUGAACUGAUUUCUGGACUAAGACUGUAACUGAGACUGUGGGAGGUAUCAUAUAACCGACAUUCCCCAAUAUGAGCUAAUUGGGGUCCAACCUAUAACCCAAGUUGAAAGGGUGUUAAUAUCGUGCCAUGGGUACUAACGUUGGUUGUGUGGAUCCACUAGUCUGGUAUACUGGGUUGUCCCAAAGGACUAAGGGUGUCAAGCCUAAUCUGACAGGUGACCCCUGCGAGACAAUCAAGCCUAAACUGACAGGAGACUUCUCAUAUACUAAGCUGGCUACGUAGUUCUGGAGUAUAGGAACUGCUCCUAACGACACUGCCUAUCUAACGAGGAAGUUGCCAUCCCUACACUCGCUCGAUGUUAAAUCCUACUCCAACUGAAUGACACUGAGUUACUAACUAUUUUUGAGUUUAACUGACUAAUCUAGUAAUGCUCAUGAUGUAUUAUGAAGUUAUCCUGAAGAUACUGAGAUGAUACUAAGUAAACAACUACGAUUUUUGGGUAUUUAAUACCCCCAGGACUCAAAAUCAAUAAUAGUAAAACGACACUAAAGCUUGGAGGACAUAGCAUGAAGGCUUUUAUCAAAUAUUCAUUCUUGUAAGCAUUUGAUCAAACACUUGAUAUGCAUGGUGUAUAUAGAGCAUGGGAAUUAGUUUAAAGCUUGUAGUAAAGCACAACUUCAACACCAUUAUCACAAAUCAUAAAUUAAAUCAAUGGACAACAAUAUUCAAACAUAUGAAGUGUAGUAAUAGACAUCAAUUUUUCUAAAACAUGGUACAAAACAAGAUUCAUGGAAAUUAAUGGUUUAAUCAUAAUUUGAAAUCAAUAUAACUUGAAAAGAUCAAAAUUUUGCAAUUUAAAUUGGAUACUUUGACUCCAUGGGUGAAAGGAACCCAUGGAUGAACAUCUAACAUACCUGGGUUAAUGAAUUUGAGAGGAUUGAUGGAGAGUUCUUGAGAUUCGGCCUUGAAUUUGAGAGUUAGGGUUUCUUUUUCUUGAGAAAGGGAUCUUUAAUUUUGAGAGGAAUUGAAUAAAUGAUGAUUAUUUAGGUCACUUAGGGGUUAAAACUCAUGUUUUAGACUGAUUAGGGUUGUGGAAAAAGAUUCAAAUACCCUUAAACAAAUUAAAAAACUCGAGCUGGAAAUUGAACAUCCCAAUUUUUGGCUCCGACGCGAUGCAGUGCAAUUGUGCCGGGCCACUGGAAAUUGACAAUCCUCAUUUUAUCUAUUGGCGCGACGCAGAACCAUCACGGUAAGCCUUUGGAAUGCCUUUUUGGCUACCUCUGUGACGCAUCAUUAUCGCGGAGGCUCACUGAAAAUUGCCAAAUGUGAAAUGGGACAUCACCACGAUAUGGUGAAAUCGCGAAGUCUCACAGAAAUUUUACAAUUGUGAUUUUACACUUCUCUUGCGCGUCGGGCCCAAAUCACGGUGACUUACGAUUGAAACUUAAAAUCAUUAUAACUUCUUACUCGGUUAUCUGAUUAAGGCGAAUCUUAUAUCGUUGUAAAGAUAAUUCAAUUUCCCAUAACUUGGUGUGAUCCAAACUGAGAAAUAAUGAGUAUUUAUAAAAUUUUAUAUAUGAAUACUCAUGUAUUAGGACUUAAUUAUGCUAGAGAAAUACGGGGUAUUACAGUUGCACCUUCAAGAGAUUGUAAAGUUGCAUGGGGCACCUGUAUCUAUUAUUUUGGAUCGUGGUACUCUGUUUUCACCAUACUUUUGGUGUUUGUUUCAGAGAGGUUUGACAACUAAGGUGAGCCUUAAUACUGUUUUUCACCCGCAGUAGGAUGGGAAAGCGGAAAGGACUAUUCAGACAUUAGAAGAUAUGGUUAGAGCGUGUAUGAUUAAAUCAGUGGUAUUUAGGUUGAUCAUUUUACUCUUGUAGAAUUUUCAUAUAAUAAUAGUUACCACUCAAGUAUUGGGAUGGCUCUGUAUGAAUCUGUGUAUAGUAGGAGGUGUAGAUCUCUUAUUGGGUGGUUCGAGGUUGGUAAGGCAGAGAUGUUUGUCCCAAAUUUGGUUCACCAAGCCAUGGUAAAGGUGAAGAUGAUUCGACAUAGAUUUAAUACCGCCCAAAGUCGCCAAAAGUCCUAUGCAGAUAUGAGGUGUAGGGAGUUAGAGUUUAAGGUUGAGGAUAGGGUGUUCUUGAAGGUGUUUCCCGUAAAGUAAGUGAUGUGGUUUGGUAAGAAGGAAAGCUCAGUCCCCAGUAUGCUGGUACUUACUUGGUCUUGAAGAGGGUUGGUAGUGUUGCAUAUGAGUUGAAGUUGCCUUCUAGCUUGAGCUCCAUUCACCCGGUGUUUCAUGUUUCAAUGUUGAUAAAGUCCAUGGGUGAUUCUUUGACAAUUAUUUCUUUAGCAGAGGUGGGUAUUGCAGACUCCUUGUCUUAUGAGGAGGUUUCAAUUGAAAUCUUAGAUUGACAAGUUCGUUGGUUACGGACAAAGGACUCAGCUUUGUUAAAGUUUCUAUAGAGGAACCAUAAGGUUGAAGAAGCUACUUGGGAAGCCGAAGAGGACCUGACAUCCAAGUAUCCAUUCCUAUUUCCAAUCCCAAAAAAUCGUUCUUAAGGUACGUGUGUUCUUAACAUCUUUAUUUUCUAUCUUUGUUAAAGGGAAGUGUGGUUGUUAGUUGUGUUAAAUCGUGUUUUUGUAUACCUUGACCCAUCAUUCGAGGACGAAUGAUCCAAGUGGGGGAGAAUUGAAACACCCAGUAUCUGUGACCCUUAAAAAUUUCUUGAGCUUUGAGCUCACUGCCUUGGUUAAGACUGGACCCUAUGAGUUGUAGGCUGUCUUGAUAGGUCAGUGACCCUAGUCGUGAGGUAUCUAGUGAAUGGUAUUUGCGCUUCUGUACUGGGUAUGCCUUGAGGACAUGAGUCGUAAAGACUCGUAAUGAGACGUUUGGAUGAGUCGUAAACAAAUCAUGGAAAUUUGUGACAAGAGUUUUCUAAGUAUGAGUGGCUCACUAUGAAUCGUAAGGACUUGUUAAGAGUUGUAGGCUAAAAUCAUAGGAUGUCCAGUACUUAGCCCAUUUGGGUUUUUUGUUGACUACGACUGGACCCUAAGAGUCAUAGGGUCUCAUUACGAAUGGGUUAGUCAAGUCGUAAGGUCGACAGUGUAUGGGGCCCUUGUCACUGUCUUGGUUAUGACGUGGUGACGAGUCGUAAGGUGUGGUAACAAGUCAAUGGUUGACUCAUAGUCAAAGGUAGCCUUUUUCAGCUUUUAAGUUAAGGGCAUUCUGGAUAUUUUACCUCCUAACCAAAUGAAAACCCAUGUCUUAUAACCCCUUUAGGGUAUCAUUAGCACUUAGAAAGAAAUCAAAUAAGCUCUCAAAAUACUCUUAAAUCCUCAAGGUCAAGAACACUUAGGGUUUUCAAGAGGUUGAUUACUUGGGGCUUUCAAGGGUGAUUUCUCUCCGUACAUCUUGCUAUUUCAGGCAUGUUACUCUUUCCUCUCUAUCAAUUUUGUAAAAGAAUGUGAUUUAAAGUAUUGUUCAUUAGAUAUUGAUGUUGGGUUUGAACUAUAGGUUGAGGGGUUUUAAUAUUAAUUUUUGAAAUGUUUCUUCCAUGAUAUUUAUGAAACUAUUGUGCUUAAAUUGAUAGUUCUUAAAUGUAUUGGGGUGCAUGGGAAUGGUGGAUGAAAAUAGGGGUACAAAGGAAUCCCCAAAUUAAUUGGUGUGGUAUGGAAAUUGGUAAUAACCUCAACUCACUUGCAUAAUUGAUUUUGGUUUAUGCAUUAUCACUUGGCUUGGCUUGUUUCUUGAAACUAAUACAUGGUUAAGUGGUUAAGGAUGGUUUUAAUAACCUUGUGAGGUACAAUGGAAUCCUCUAAGUGAAAGAUUUAUGAAAACCUUGUGAGGUACACGGAAAUCUCCUAAGUGAUUCUAAAAAUGGAGUCUGCGGGGUACUUGGGAAUCCCCUAAGUGUUGGCUAAUAAAAUUGCUUGCAAGCUGUAGUCGGUAUGAUGAUACCACUUACAAAUGCCUUAAUAAUUGACUCUUGGAAUUGAUGGUUUGGUUAUGUGUUAAAUAUUUUAAUUGGGGAAUAAUGAGGAUUGCGAUAGUUAGUCGUGAAGGUGUGAGUCCGAAGGACAGACACUAGAAACUCAUAUUUGCCGAUAUAAGGGUUGGUCUUAAUAACCAAGUGCUUGUGGGGUACAAGGAAAUCCCCCAAGUGCAUAUAUAUACAUAUGUAUCAUAGAGGGUGAAAGGUACAAGAGAAUCUCCGGCCACCUAUGAUAUCUCUGGUUCGUGCAACUAACACUCACUGGAGCCCGUCUGGAGGUAACACUGGACCCAAAUAGUCCGGAAUGGACUUAUGACAGUAAAGCUACACAACCCAAGUUAAGUUUUUAAAAUGCAUGAUAUACUUGUUCCCUAUCCUGAUAUAGGGUUGUAAGACCCCGUAAGAUCCUAACUCAUUUCAGCUUACUAUUGCAUGUUAAAAAUGGGGUCUAAGAAUUAGAAUAUUUCACUAAGUGUUAGGACUUAGUCUUUUCCAAAGCACCCUAAACUUUAAUGAUCUUAUUUUUGACCUUUCCGACCUUAAAAAGUUAAAUUUUAAGUUAAUUCAUGAUCGGGGUUAUCGAUAGUAAAUCUCGGGUGAGUAUUGGAAUUUUUGAACAAGUGUAGAGUUGUGUUUGGGUCACCAAAAUAGUAGCAGCCCGCGAUUAGCCCGGGGCGCGCGCUCCAUCGUGCCGUAGGGGUGCCCAUGACAAAGCCCGCAGCAUGUGGUCUAGUCCGAUAGAGCAAAGCCUGCGGCGCGUACCCCAUCGCACCUCCUUUUUUCCAACUUCUAUUUCCAUUUUCUAAGGGUAUUUAGGUCAUUUAACUUCACCCAAUUGGUACAUAACACGGGAUUAAGGGUCCAAAAAGUCAAAAUUGGUCCCAUUAUUCACAAAUUCUCUCAAAAGAAAACACUCUCUCUCAAGAACAAAUCCUAGCCUCUUCAAGAUUCAAGCUCAAGCUUUGAGAAAUUCGCUAAGAACCUUUACAAAUUCAUCAAUUAUGGUAUUUGUGAUGUUCAUCCAUGGGCCAUUUUCACCUAUGGAUUCCAAGAAUCCAUUUUCAAGUUUAAAGUUAUGAUUUUUACCUGUUGUUAUGAAAUAUCUACAUGAAGCUAUUAUGAACCUUGAUUUCAAAUCAUGUUUACCAUGUGUUUUCGUUGGAAUUCGUCCGUGACACAUUUAAAUGGUGAUUUUCGCAUGUUUCAUCCUUAAACCAUGAUUUUUAGUAUUGCAAUUAUGUUAGUAGCACAUAUUUUAACUAUUCCCAUGAUAAAGUCUAUGAAUUUCAAGUGUUUGAUGAAAUGCCAAAGAGAAUAAUUUUGCAGAAUGAUUUCUCCAUUAUGGUUUUGAAGUGGUUAAAUGCCUUUAUUGUUAUUUCCAUUCAGUGUUGGGGGUUAUGAAUACCCAAAACUUAGUUAUUUACCUAGUUUUCAGAAUCUUCAAAGUGGUUUCAGAUAAACCAUGAGCCUUCUCAUUUAGUUAGUAUCAUUGCUCAGUUGUUGUCUUAGAUAAGCUCAGUUUAGUUCAGAAAUUAGCGUCUUUCCGUUGGGAGUAGGAUUUAGCAUCGAGUGAAUGCAGGAUGGCGGUUUCCCCAUCAGUUAGGCAAAGUCGUUAGUAGUAGUCCCUGUAUUCCAGAACCACGCAGACAGUGUGGGUUAUAAGAAGUCACCCGUCAGUUUAAGCUUGAAUACCUCACAAGGGUGACCCGUCAGUUUAGGCUUGACUCUGCCCAGAGAUCACCAGUUAUUUUAGGCUUGAUACCCUAGUUUUUUAGUAGCUUAGUGGAUCCACACAGCCAGUGUUAUUAUCCAUGGCACGAUACUGACACCCUUCCAACUGCAGUCACAGGUUGGACCCCAAUCAUCUUACAAUGGGGAAUGUCGAUUAGAUGAUACCUCCCACAGUCUCAGUUCAGUACUCAGUACAGAAUUCAAUUCAGAUCGCUUGACAAAGGCAUAUAGAUUAUCAGUUACUCAGUUAUCAAACUUCAGUAUUAUGAUAUUAUAGUAUGUCAGUCUUACAGAUUAUAUCAAAAAUAUUUUAUGUUUGGUCUUGCACUUGCAGUAUUUCAGUUUUCAUGCAUUCUUAUACAGUUAUCUCAUGUUAUUAAACCAGUCAUUACUUUAUGUUCAAUUAACCCAUGCAUUACAGCCUAACCCCAUCUUAUAUGCCAGUACAUUCAAAGUACUGAUCGUAUACUUGUUAUCUUGCGCUAUGAUGCCUUAUAUCAUAGGUUCGGACAUUCAGUUUCCCGAUCGGGCCUAGGCAGGACCAGUUAGCCAGCAUCAGCAGCAGUGGUGAGUCAUCAUACUUCGAGGACGAGUUUAUCUUUAUUCAGUUAAGAUUAGUAGUUUAGUUAUAGGGUCAGUUGUAGUUAGUUAUGGGUUUGUCCCAUCAACUCCCCAGUCGGUCAGUCUUAGAGGCUUUUCAGACACUUUCAGACAGUUGGUUAGAUUAUCAGGUUUUACCCAUUUUCAGAUAGUUGCUUUCAGUCUUAUGAUUCAGUAUUGUUUUCAUCGUCUAAAACCUUAUUGCGUUUUUCAGUUAAAUUACACACAUGUUUAUUUGUUAUUAAUUUUAUUCAGUGCUCACAGUAGGUAUCAGCUCAUGGGUUAGCUUGUGGUCUCUCAGGACUGUAAGCACCGUGUGGUGUCCAGGGUUCAUUUCCAGGCAGUUACAGGGGUGGGUGGGUGUGUGUUUGUACGUGCGUGUGUAUAUAUAUAUGUAUAUAUGUAUGCAUUUUCAUAUGGUUAUGUGCAUUGGUUUGACUUGUUUUGGAUUGAUGGUAUUACUUUAUCUUUAUCCCUGAGUUACAUACUAGUGUUCACCCUGCUAACCAUCUUCAGAUGCUCCAUCCUGAUGUGAUGUAGGAAUUGGCCAUACUUCCUCUCCUUCUGCACAGUGACUAAGUGAUUCGGGGACAACUUUUUAGUCAGACUAAAGUUGUGAGCUUCCAUACUUCAGAAGAUCCCAUUUCAUGCUAUGAAUUUCUUUAUGUCUUUACUAUUCUUUUUUUGUCUUGGUUUUGGAUGUGGUUGGGGAUAUGUUCCGACUGGAUAUUCUUUGAUUUUGAUUAGAGGCUUUGUCAGACUAGUAUGGAUAUGGGUGGUAUUAAUUGGUUGUUUGGUGGGUAGGUGGUUGGUUUUGGUUAUAGACUUAUCAUAAUGUCUUUAAAUUGAUAUUCUCUUAUCUUGUUAGAUUUUCGAAAUUCAUCCAACAUAGAUGUAGGGUGAUCAAUGAUUUGGUAUUGAGGGUGGUCUCCUAUCCUGGUUGAACUUGAGAUCUUCGACAUAGCCAGACCCUGGUCAGGUCGUGUCAAUCAUGCUCCAUAAUUUUCAAAUUAAAGACCUUUUAGUACAUUUGGUACCUUUGGCCCUAGUAAACUUCGUUAAAGGUAAAACUUUUUCACCCUUUUUCAGUAAUUCUAUAACCUGACUAGUAGGGAUAAUAAUUUCACCUAACUCUUGUUUUUCUAUAUCAUCUUCUUUUGGUAAGUCUUCGUCAAAAAUAUGAUAACACCUACUUAGGGUCUCAUGGUCUAAUUGUAUACUGGCAUCAACAUCGAAAUCAUUGAAUUGUAAUGAAGAAAUUUCUUGAACAUUACUAAAUCUAGGAAGUAAUGAACAUUUGUGGAUAAAUGAUAUAAGUAUAAUUUUGUUUCUCCUUUGAUUAUUUCCUCUUGAUUUUCUUUGUAAUUUGAGGGUCAUUAAUAGCAUAUUUCUUGAAUGUAUAAUGAUCUAUUUAUGAAUAUCCCAUGAUUGAUUUUGUGGAUAUUGGAGAUGCCAUUUUUUAGGAAAUAUUUAUUCCUUUAUAUAGGUGUAAUUUAGAAUUUAGGAUAAAUUAGCCAGUUUAGGG
rnacentral:lncRNA from 1 species